UAAAAGUUAUUAUUAUCAACUAAAUAGGAUAUAAAGAAAUGCAGGUUAGUAGUUAGUUACCUAUUACAAUCAAACUUGCAGUCAGGUUAGGUAUGUUUUCAAGGUCAAACAGAUAUAUUUUAGAUAGACAUGCCAUCUACAAACACUUCAGAGAUCUACAGAAUAUGGCAUUUAAGAUGUUUUAAUAACAGAUUCUUUUUUUUUUUUUUAUGACUAUGAGACGUGUCUGCUCCUGGCAGCACCAAUCUACUUCAGAGAAGAUGAUGGACAUCAAAGAAACUCCAUAUGGAGUUUACUUUCUUUGUGGCAAAAGUUAGCCACUGGGCAAGAAAGUGCCCUUGCCUCAGCUGCUGACAGUAUGCUGUCCAAAUGGAUAAGCAGCACACAAAAGAAAGGACUGCUGAACCUUUACUAGACAAGGACUUCAGACAGUGAUAGCUAACAGAAGGUAUCCUAACAAUCCUCACAGAGACCUGAGAGCAGGAAUUGAGUCUCGUGUUUCUCUUCCCCAACCCCCGGCCUCAGACAGCUGCAAAUGCAUAUUCCAUGUAGAUCCAGUCUCUGAAAUACCGAAUGGAAAUUUACUGGGGCUCUCUAAGAGGCCAGACUCUCACACAAACUGGCCUGCCCCGUGGGACUCUCCACAGUGCCAGAUAUUUUAUGAGGACCGGCGUUCCCAGUUGAUCGAGUCGGACGAAAUGAAACCAAAGAGCUGUGUCUCGAAACUGACUUCUCCUGCUUAAUUGUACACAGGGGACGCUCUACUCUAGGCCAGGAGUUGAGCAAAUCUGAGGUUUGUAGAGUCUAGGAAAGCACGGGAGGCUUUGUGUAGUUUUGUUUUCUUUGGAGAAGAACGGCCAGCAGUGGAGCUGGCAGAAAGGUGGGGUGCUGCCUUGCCGGAGGAUAACACCAGCAGGCCGAGGAAAACAGUCAAAGCUUCCCAGGUGCUUCUGGAAAAGGGAGAAAAGGACAGGAAAGAGCUAGAAGAGGACCAGCCGCUUCAGAAAGGCUGCCCAGCCCAACAGCCUCUGGGAAAAACAGAGGCUGCUGCUCACAGCUGUUCUGAAAGGCCAUGCUAAGAGCAGCAGGAAGUCAGAAGUCACCGAUGGCUGCAGAAAAAGGGACAUAGAGCACCCUCAAAGAUGUGCGUCUAAACAAGAGAUUCCUCUAAUUUUGCUUUCAAAUAUUUGUAUGUAUCUUCUUCUUUAAAUAGAUAAUUUGUUUACAUGGCUUAAAACUUAAGAAAAAAACCAAACAAACAAAUUAGUAUAUAUCUCUCCUUUUCCAGUCUUUCAUUUGGAAUGGUUGUACAAGGGAAAGUUCUGUGUGCCGUGGCACAGUAUGUGAUUACAGAUAAUAAAUGUACUGUUUCAAAAAUA